ensembl:lncRNA
GCCUAUGUGAUGACAGUGUGGAUUAUUCGAGUGAAAUUUGGCCAGCUAUAGAGAAACCUCUCCUCCCUCUCAAUGGACACCUCAUUAACCAUUAUCCCAGCUCACAACUGCCAGUCCAGCAGAAAGUCACUUUGUUGGACACUGCUGUCAUGAUGAUGAGUUGUAAAGCUUCUUCAAACAGGCCAGGAAAGUCCUGAGCAUGGAGGCUAACAAAGGCCCAUCAGUUCUGGAUCACAUGGAACUCAACUUGUCCUAUGGAGGGCUGCACCUCACAUACAGAGUACAGUACCCAUCAGCACCCCAUCUACAUCCAGCCACCUCACUAAUUUGUAGUCUGGACGAAUCAGCGCUAAGUGGCGAAAGUCAUAGCCAGUCUGCAGAUUUUGGGCAGCGUUUUUUGAAGAUUUCACAGAAAAUCACGUGGUAAAUGACAGGCACAAACUCCGAAUUUUUGGUGUCAAUUUGCACGAUUCCGUUCAGACGGAGGAUAUCGAACAUAUUUUGAGACGAUUUAAGAUUGUUUUUAAUUGUGACGCGUCUCUUCGCAACGAGGCGCGUGUUUCUCCUCUUCCCACCCACGCAAGGACUGUUUGUUUCCUGGAAAAUGAAACCAACAUAUCCAACAGAGCUUUGUGAAACCGAAACUCGAAACUCAGUGAAGUUGUUGGUGAACACACUAUUUGCUGAAAUCAUCACGUUUUUAUUCCCACCGAACAAAGUUCUACCUUCCAUUUGACCACUGGACAAAGAUUUAGUGUGGAUAAUUCUGGUGAAUUUUUGAAAAAAUGAUCUCCUCCCUCUGCGCCACCUCAGUGGACUAUUCAUUCUCUUACCCCAGCUUUCAACCCAACACAGAAAGCAUAAUGUCAGUGAUGCAUGAACUGAAGACAAAGAACAUUGCAGACAGAAACCUUUUCUCCAACUUGGACUUUGCUGAGAGGUUCUUUAGAAACCAUCCUCUAAAACUGUCCUCCAAAUUAUUAGUCAAAGGAAAUUACUCUUGUGUACAAAUGGGUCAGAAUAACAACCAAGUUGUUACUGUAACAUCAGAAAACAAUCAAACCUAUGUCAAUGUCUGUAUCCAUGAUCAAUUUGAGAAAACAAUUACAAGUUCUUUAAUUGCAGCCAGGCACUUUUUCAACCACUCCUGCCAGGAUGAGAUUAAAUCCUGUUUUACACAGGCUCACGAAGCUGUUGCUAAAGAGGGUCUGACAAGAUUACACAUCACAUGCAGCAGGUUCUCAGUAACAUACACCACUCGAUAUAGAGGUCCAUGCGCAACCGUGGAAACUAAAUGUCAGUUAAAGCUAGAGAACCUCACUGCUGAGUGUUUACUGAACAAAAAAGUCUGGCUGCAGAAAGAGAAGCCCACAUGUCAUGGGUUGAUAGCAUGUCUAGACCAUCUCAUAAAGCAAUACCUGUCCAAAAGCAGUUCUUUAUAUUACUCCUAUAGGUUCAUCAUACAUGCAGACAAAGAAAUAAUCAGAAUCACUUCAGGUGAAGAAAAAGAAAGAGAAUGUGUUUUGAUACAUGAUAAUGAAGGGGUCUCCAUGUUUCCUCCAACAUUGCAAUAAAAGUUAUGACAGCACUCCACUGCAACAUAUUCUGUGGAAAUAUCUUCACAUGCAUUUAAAUUAAAUCAUAUCAUCUUAUACCUAAUCACAUAUUCAUUACUAAUUAUAGAUUAAUUGAAAAUAUUUGCUCUCAAAAAAUAAAUCAUACAAUGGCAUUACCUUUGGAGUACA